rnacentral:RNase_P_RNA from 1 species
CGGUCGCUGCCACAAGGCAGAGGAAAGUCCGGACUCCGCAGGGCAGAGGAUCCGCCCGUCAAGGGCGGAGGGCGCAUGGCAAUCGUGCGCGACGGAAAGUGCCACAGAAAAUAAACAGCGAAGAGUGGGAAACCGCUCCGCUACGGUGAAAGGGCGGUGUAAGAGACCACCGGCGCGGCUGAAACGCCGCGCGCAGGGCAAACCCUCCUCGGAGCAAGAUCAAAUAGGGAAUCGAACGGGCGGCCCGCUCGGUUGGCGCCGUAGAGGAUGCCAUGAGAUUCCGGGUUGAUUGCAUAGAGGAAUGAUCGGAGCACGCCGCAAGGCGUGUGAACAGAAUCUGGCUUAUUCGCCG